rnacentral:rRNA from 1 species
UACGAAGGGGGCUAGCGUUGUUCGGAUUUACUGGGCGUAAAGCGCACGUAGGCGGUUUGUUAAGUGAGAGGUGAAAUCCCAGAGCUCAACUCUGGAACUGCCUUUCAUACUGGCAAGCUAGAGUCCGGAAGAGGUAAGUGGAACUCCUAGUGUAGAGGUGGAAUUCGUAGAUAUUAGGAAGAACACCGGUGGGCGAAGGCGGCUUA